UCCCUUAUCAGGUAAUUCCACACUUAGC
rnacentral:piRNA from 1 species